AUUGAACGCUGGCGGCAGGCCUAACACAUGCAAGUCGAAUGGUAACAGGAAACAGCUUGCUGUUUCGCUGACGAGUGGCGGACGGGUGAGUAAUGUCUGGGAAACUGCCUGAUGGAGGGGGAUAACUACUGGAAACGGUAGCUAAUACCGCAUAACGUCGCAAGACAAAAGAGGGGGACCUUCGGGCCUCUUGCCAUCAGAUGUGCCCAGAUGGGAUUAGCUAGUAGGUGGGGUAACGGCUCACCUAGGCGACGAUCCCUAGCUGGUCUGAGAGGAUGACCAGCCACACUGGAACUGAGACACGGUCCAGACUCCUACGGGAGGCAGCAGUGGGGAAUAUUGCACAAUGGGCGCAAGCCUGAUGCAGCCAUGCCGCGUGUAUGAAGAAGGCCUUCGGGUUGUAAAGUACUUUCAGCGGGGAGGAAGGGAGUAAAGUUAAUACCUUUGCUCAUUGACGUUACCCGCAGAAGAAGCACCGGCUAACUCCGUG
rnacentral:rRNA from 1 species